CCUCACGGCGGUGCCGCGAUCUUCGAUCGCUCGCCUCCGGCCAAUCUUCGGGUUGGAAAAGGGGCGCCAGACGACUGGCGACGGCCUCUGGCCUGUAUGGGCGAGCGUCACUGANCGUGGAGUUCGUAGAGAUCGGGCCUGUAGCUCAGUUGGUUAGAGCACACGCNUGAUAAGNCGUGG
rnacentral:misc_RNA from 1 species